UUUGCUGGGAAGGUGGGACUGCCAGGGCGGCAGGGACGUGUUGGGAUUCAGGGUGCCUCUGGAAGCAGAGGGAUCCGGGGUCCUUUAGGAAAGACAGGCGCGAAGGGACUCAAAGGUAAAGCUGGUCUGAGUGGAUUUCCU